GCGCCCGUAGCUCAGCUGGAUAGAGCACUGCCCUCCGAAGGCAGAGGUCUCAGGUUCAAAUCCUGUCGGGCGUACCA
rnacentral:tRNA from 1 species